AGUGAACGCUGGCGGUAGGCCUAACACAUGCAAGUCGAACGGCAGCACAGUAAGAGCUUGCUCUUACGGGUGGCGAGUGGCGGACGGGUGAGGAAUACAUCGGAAUCUACUUUUUCGUGGGGGAUAACGUAGGGAAACUUACGCUAAUACCGCAUACGACCUACGGGUGAAAGCAGGGGAUCUUCGGACCUUGCGCGAUUGAAUGAGCCGAUGUCAGAUUAGCUAGUUGGCGGGGUAAAGGCCCACCAAGGCGACGAUCCGUAGCUGGUCUGAGAGGAUGAGCAGCCACACUGGAACUGAGACACGGUCCAGACUCCUACGGGAGGCAGCAGUGGGGAAUAUUGGACAAUGGGCGCAAGCCUGAUCCAGCCAUACCGCGUGGGUGAAGAAGGCCUUCUGGUUGUAAAGUCAUUUUGUUGGGAAAGAAAAGCAGCAGGUUAAUACCCCGCUGUUCUGACGGUACCCAAAGAAGAAGCACCGGCUAACUUCGUG
rnacentral:rRNA from 1 species